AUGAACGCUGGCGGCGUGCCUAAUACAUGCAAGUCGAGCGAACAGACGAGGAGCUUGCUCCUCUGACGUUAGCGGCGGACGGGUGAGUAACACGUGGAUAACCUACCUAUAAGACUGGGAUAACUUCGGGAAACCGGAGCUAAUACCGGAUAAUAUAUUGAACCGCAUGGUUCAAUAGUGAAAGACGGUUUUGCUGUCACUUAUAGAUGGAUCCGCGCCGCAUUAGCUAGUUGGUAAGGUAACGGCUUACCAAGGCGACGAUGCGUAGCCGACCUGAGAGGGUGAUCGGCCACACUGGAACUGAGACACGGUCCAGACUCCUACGGGAGGCAGCAGUAGGGAAUCUUCCGCAAUGGGCGAAAGUCUGACGGAGCAACGCCGCGUGAGUGAUGAAGGUCUUCGGAUCGUAAAACUCUGUUAUUAGGGAAGAACAAAUGUGUAAGUAACUAUGCACGUCUUGACGGUACCUAAUCAGAAAGCCACGGCUAACUACGUG
rnacentral:rRNA from 1 species